UACGUAGGGUGCAAGCGUUGUCCGGAAUCAUUGGGCGUAAAGCGCGCGUAGGUGGCUCUGUAAGUCCGUUGUGAAAGUCAAAGGCUCAACCUUUGAAUGCCGAUGGAUACUGCAGAGCUAGAGUACGGAAGAGGCGAGUGGAAUUCCUGGUGUAGCGGUGGAAUGCGCAGAUAUCAGGAGGAACACCGGUGGCGAAGGCGGUUCUCUGGGCAUUACCUGACGCUGAGGAGCGAAAGUGUGGGGAGCGAACAGG
rnacentral:rRNA from 1 species